rnacentral:rRNA from 1 species
AUUGAACGCUGGCGGCAGGCUUAACACAUGCAAGUCGAGCGAGCGGCGGACGGGUGAGUAAUGUCUGGGAAACUGCCUGAUGGAGGGGGAUAAAUACUGGAAACGGUAGCUAAUACCGCAUACCAUCAGAUGUGCCCAGAUGGGAGUAGUUAGUAGGUGGGGUAAUGGCUCACCUAGGCGACGAGCCCUAGCUGGUCUGAGAGGAAGACCAGCCUGACGAGAACGGAUACACGGUCCAGACUCCUACGGUAGGCGGCAGUGGGGAAUAUUGCAACAUGGGCGCAGGCCUGAUGCAGCCAUGCGGCGUGUGGGACGAAGGCCUUCGGGUUGUAAAGCACUUUCAGCGAGGAGGCGUUACUCGCAGAAGAAGCACCGGCUAACUCCGUGCCAGCAGCCGCGGUAAUUC